GGCUGAGAUGCCAAGUAUGUUAAACCUCUGAAAAGAAAUGAUAUAAAAACUUGUCUGGAAUGUGAUGAUUUCACCAACCCGUAGGAUAGUCUGUGCUCAGCUGCAGAUGUAGAAAUCUGUGCUUUAUGACAAAACACUGAUGUGACUGUGGGCCAAGUUCACACCGUGUGAGGGAGCACAGGACCGAUUUCAGCAGAUGGAGUUUCUACAAGGCAAAUCUAUUCCCUGGAGAUGCAAAAAGGUAAAAUCCCCAUCCCUUGAACCCAGAUUACCCAGAUGUGGUUUUGAUUCCACCAUUAUUCUACAACAAAAGUAUUCCAAGUGCAUUACAUAUAAAAGAUGUGCUCAGAAGACAGUUUAGUGAGAAGGGGCUGGAAAGUGACUAAAGUCUCUGCAAAAUAGAGCUGACAUCAAGCAAAGCACCUGGACUCUACUCCCAGGAGACAUCCAGGAGACCAGAAAAUGACAUUGUGAGGAAUAGAUGUAGCUCUUUUUUUUCUUUUGUGGAAGUGCAGUUCUGACAAUGUGAAGGGAGACUUGAUGGCUUACAUGGUGAUAAGAAAUAAAGGAAAUGGUCU
rnacentral:lncRNA from 1 species